rnacentral:lncRNA from 1 species
GAGGCGGGCGGGGGGACACCCCUCACCGCCUCACACCGGCCGGUCCGGCCCGGCUCCCUCGGCGCUGCAAAAGUCGAUAGGCGCGGGGAGAAGUGAAGAUGGGCCCAAGGAAUUCUGGUUGUGCUGUUUGAUGCUUGCCAUGUUCACCAAUAGCAGCAUCUCAACCCAGUCUUGAUGCUCAAGUUCCAGAGCAUCUGUUAGACCUUCUCCCAGUCAGAAGACUACAAAGGAAACAAAGAACAACUUUGAAAUAAAUAAAUGCUCUUUGAAUUUCUAUCCCCUUAA